CCUAUGGUCCAAUGUGACACUGGAAGCCAUAGCUGCCCCACUGACUUUGAACUGGAAUCCUGAGCCCUCUACAUGUGCUCGCAACAUCCCAGGCAGCUUAGUCCCCACAAGCGCCCCUCUCCUCCACCUGGCCUGUGCUGACAUUCGUGCUAUUGAGCUGUUGGACUUUCUCAGCUCACUGGUCCUGAUCCUCAGCUCCCUCUCACUCACAGUGGUCUCCUAUGUUUACAUCAUCUCCACCAUUCUGAAGAUACCCUCAGGCCAAGCAUCAUCACACCCCUCCUGAAUCCCUUCGUCUUCAGUCUGUGGAAUGAACCCAUGAAAGAUGCACUGAAGGACGCCUCGGCCGGAGGACAGAGCUUGCUCAAAGGGGCACACAAACUUCUUCUUAUAAGCUCUGGAUACCUGUUCAUUGACAUCACUGAAAAAUAAAGUGGUUUUCUCAAAG
rnacentral:lncRNA from 1 species